GAUGAACGCUGGCGGCGUGCCUAAUACAUGCAAGUCGAGCGAACGGACGAGAAGCUUGCUUCUCUGAUGUUAGCGGCGGACGGGUGAGUAACACGUGGAUAACCUACCUAUAAGACUGGGAUAACUUCGGGAAACCGGAGCUAAUACCGGAUAAUAUUUUGAACCGCAUGGUUCAAAAGUGAAAGACGGUCUUGCUGUCACUUAUAGAUGGAUCCGCGCUGCAUUAGCUAGUUGGUAAGGUAACGGCUUACCAAGGCAACGAUGCAUAGCCGACCUGAGAGGGUGAUCGGCCACACUGGAACUGAGACACGGUCCAGACUCCUACGGGAGGCAGCAGUAGGGAAUCUUCCGCAAUGGGCGAAAGCCUGACGGAGCAACGCCGCGUGAGUGAUGAAGGUCUUCGGAUCGUAAAACUCUGUUAUUAGGGAAGAACAUAUGUGUAAGUAACUGUGCACAUCUUGACGGUACCUAAUCAGAAAGCCACGGCUAACUACGUGCCAGCAGCCGCGGUAAUACGUAGGUGGCAAGCGUUAUCCGGAAUUUAUGGGCGUAAAGCGCGCGUAGGCGGUUUUUUAGUCUGAUGUGAAAGCCCGCGGCUCAACCGUGGAGGGUCAUUGGAAACUGGAAAACUUGAGUGCAGAAGAGGAAAGUGGAAUUCCAUGUGUAGCGGUGAAAUGCGCAGAGAUAUGGAGGAACACCAGUGGCGAAGGCGACUUUCUGGUCUGUAACUGACGCUGAUGUGCGAAAGCGCGGGGAUCAAACAGGAUUAGAUACCCAGGUAGUCCACGCCGUAAACGAUGAGUGCUAAGUGUUAGGGGGUUUCCGCCCCUUAGUGCUGCAGCUAACGCAUUAAGCACUCCGCCUGGGGAGUACGACCGCAAGGUUGAAACUCAAAGGAAUUGACGGGGACCCGCACAAGCGGUGGAGCAUGUGGUUUAAUUCGAAGCGACGCGAAGAACCUUACCAAAUCUUGACAUCCUUUGACAACUCUAGAGAUAGAGCUUUCCCCUUCGGGGGACAAAGUGACAGGUGGUGCAUGGUUGUCGUCAGCUCGUGUCGUGAGAUGUUGGGUUAAGUCCCGCAACGAGCGCAACCCUUAAGCUUAGUUGCCAUCAUUAAGUUGGGCACUCUAAGUUGACUGCCGGUGACAAACCGGAGGAAGGUGGGGAUGACGUCAAAUCAUCAUGCCCCUUAUGAUUUGGGCUACACACGUGCUACAAUGGACAAUACAAAGGGCAGCGAAACCGUGAGGUCAAGCAAAUCCCAUAAAGUUGUUCUCAGUUCGGAUUGUAGUCUGCAACUCGACUACAUGAAGCUGGAAUCGCUAGUAAUCGUAGAUCAGCAUGCUACGGUGAAUACGUUCCCGGGUCU
rnacentral:rRNA from 1 species